rnacentral:rRNA from 1 species
AUUGAACGCUGGCGGCAGGCCUAACACAUGCAAGUCGAGCGGAUGAAGGGAGCUUGCUCCUGGAUUCAGCGGCGGACGGGUGAGUAAUGCCUAGGAAUCUGCCUGGUAGUGGGGGAUAACGUCCGGAAACGGGCGCUAAUACCGCAUACGUCCUGAGGGAGAAAGUGGGGGAUCUUCGGACCUCACGCUAUCAGAUGAGCCUAGGUCGGAUUAGCCAGUUGGUGGGGUAAAGGCCUACCAAGGCGACGAUCCGUAACUGGUCUGAGAGGAUGAUCAGUCACACUGGAACUGAGACACGGUCCAGACUCCUACGGGAGGCAGCAGUGGGGAAUAUUGGACAAUGGGCGAAAGCCUGAUCCAGCCAUGCCGCGUGUGUGAAGAAGGUCUUCGGAUUGUAAAGCACUUUAAGUUGGGAGGAAGGGCAGUAAGUUAAUACCUUGCUGUUUUGACGUUACCAACAGAAUAAGCACCGGCUAACUUCGU